rnacentral:rRNA from 1 species
GAUGAACGCUGGCGGCGUGCCUAAUACAUGCAAGUCGAGCGAACAGACGAGGAGCUUGCUCCUCUGACGUUAGCGGCGGACGGGUGAGUAACACGUGGAUAACCUACCUAUAAGACUGGGAUAACUUCGGGAAACCGGAGCUAAUACCGGAUCAUAUAUUGAACCGCAUGGUUCAAUAGUGAAAGACGGUUUUGCUGUCACUUAUAGAUGGAUCCGCGCCGCAUUAGCUAGUUGGUAAGGUAACGGCUUACCAAGGCAACGAUGCGUAGCCGACCUGAGAGGGUGGUCGGCCACACUGGAGCGGGGACACGGUCCAGACUCCUACGGGAGGCAGCAGUAGGGAAUCUUCCGCAAUGGGCGAAAGCCUGACGGAGCAACGCCGCGUGAGUGAUGAAGGUCUUCGGAUCGUAAAACUCUGUUAUUAGGGAAGAACAAAUGUGUAAGUAACUAUGCACGUCUCGACGGUACCUAAUCAGAAAGCCACGGCUAACUACGUG